UACGUAGGGGGCUAGCGUUGUCCGGAAUUACUGGGCGUAAAGGGCGCCUAGGCGGUUUUUUAAGUCCGCUGUGAAAGACCGAGGCUCAACCUCGGGAUGUCAGCGGAGACUGGAAGACUGGAGUGUCGGAGAGGAGUGCGGAAUUCCUGGUGUAGCGGUGGAAUGCGUAGAUAUCAGGAGGAACACCGAUGGCGAAGGCAGCACUCUGGCCGAAGACUGACGCUGAAGCGCGAAGCGUGGGGAGCGAACAGG
rnacentral:rRNA from 1 species